rnacentral:rRNA from 1 species
CCUACGGGAGGCUGCAGUGGGGAAUAUUGGACAAUGGGGGGAACCCUGAACCAGCGACGCCGCGUGAGUGAAGGAGUAUUACGGUAUGUAAAGCUCUAUCAGCAGGGAAGAAAAUGACGGUACCUGACUAAGAAGACCCGGCUAACGACGUGACAGAAGCCGAGGUAAGACGUAGGGGGCAAGCGUUAUCCGGAUUUACUGGGUGUAAAGGGAGCGUAGACGGUGGAGCAAGUCUGAUGUGAAAGGUCGGGGCCCAACCCCGGGACUGCAUUGGAAACUGUUGAACUGGAGUACAGGAGAGGUGAGCGGAAUGCCUAGUGUAGCGGUGAAAUGCGUAGAUAUUAGGAGGAACACCAGUUGCGAAGGCGUCUUACUGGACUGUAACUGACGUUGAGGCUCGAAAGCGUGGGGAGCAAACAGGAUUAGAUACCCGAGUAGUC